ACGUGGGAACAUACCUUUUGGUUCGGAACAACUGAGGGAAACUUCAGCUAAUACCGGAUAAGCCCUUACGGGGAAAGAUUUAUCGCCGAAAGAUUGGCCCGCGUCUGAUUAGCUAGUUGGUGAGGUAACGGCUCACCAAGGCGACGAUCAGUAGCUGGUCUGAGAGGAUGAUCAGCCUCAUUGGGACUGAGACACGGCCCAAACUCCUACGGGAGGCAGCAGUGGGGAAUAUUGGACAAUGGGCGCAAGCCUGAUCCAGCCAUGCCGCGUGGGUGAUGAAGGCCUUAGGGUUGUAAAGCCCUUUCGGCGGGGAAGAUAAUGACGGUACCCGCAGAAGAAGCCCCGGCUAACUUCGUGCCAGCAGCCGCGGUAAUACGAAGGGGGCUAGCGUUGCUCGGAAUCACUGGGCGUAAAGCGCACGUAGGCGGAUUCUUAAGUCGGAGGCGAAAUCCUGGAGCUCAACUCCAGAACUGCCUUUGC
rnacentral:rRNA from 1 species